AGAAUACCGAUUCUUCCAGAUUUCACAAUCGGACAAACAGUGUUCGAAGUGGAUUCCAUUUUGGGAUUACAGUUUUGCCCUGAAUAGUCGAAUAUAUAAGAGGGAUCUCCGGUACUAUCCUAAUUCGAGAAGCCUCCAUUGUCGUCAGCAUCUGCUUUUAGCCGACAUCAAACUUCUCCGUCAAGAUCAACAUCAGCACAGACUUGGGAUCCAUUCACGUGCUAUUGUCAUGAUUGAAACAAAAAGAAGAAGACCUUUGAGUAAUUCAAAGGAAUUCAAGAUGUGGAAUUUAUAUAAGGGGUUCAAACCAGGUGGGUCUUCUCUGGCCCAUACUUUUGGUUUAGUUUGGAUUCUUACAUAACUUGCCGGAAAUGAUCAGAAAAAAAGUGUUUAGGCACCAGUACAAUGGCCAGCAGUGUCCAACAGCUAUGGCUGGUUGCUUCUUAUGAAUUACAUAUUGGCUAAAAGCAUUUCAGCAAGUCAGGUAGAUAUAUGGCGCCUGUCGCAGCUAAAGGGACAUUCUACACCUCAAGAUGUUUGCCAAGAUUUUGCACCAGUGGCAAAGAAUGAUGGAAGAAGCAACUUUCAAAUUAAGACAUUUGUAAAUGCCAUAGCAGCACCGAUGUAACUAAUUGGAUCAAAAUCGCUCAUGUAUGUAUCUGGUUAACAUACCAGAUUUUCAAAUCUGUAAAAGAUACUCUGAUUACGGACAUAAUAUUUUGAACGUUUGUUUUUGUUGUAGUUAAACUUAUAACCAACCCGCAGCAUCACGCAGAAUUGAUCUCUAUCGUUGUCUACAUGAGCAAUUACUCUCCUGAACAACAGUAAUGUUAUGAGAUCAGGGAUACCAUGUAAUAUUAUGUAAUAAUUUCU